rnacentral:rRNA from 1 species
AGUGAACGCUGGCGGUAGGCCUAACACAUGCAAGUCGAACGGCAGCACAGUAAGAGCUUGCUCUUACGGGUGGCGAGUGGCGGACGGGUGAGGAAUACAUCGGAAUCUACUUUUUCGUGGGGGAUAACGUAGGGAAACUUACGCUAAUACCGCAUUCGACCUACGGGUGAAAGCAGGGGAUCUUCGGACCUUGCGCGAUUGAAUGAGCCGAUGUCGGAUUAGCUAGUUGGCGGGGUAAAGGCCCACCAAGGCGACGAUCCGUAGCUGGUCUGAGAGGAUGAUCAGCCACACUGGAACUGAGACACGGUCCAGACUCCUACGGGAGGCAGCAGUGGGGAAUAUUGGACAAUGGGCGCAAGCCUGAUCCAGCCAUACCGCGUGGGUGAAGGAGGCCUUCGGGUUGUAAAGCCCUUUUGUUGGGAAAGAAAAGCAGCAGGUUAAUACCCCGCUGUUCUGACGGUACCCAAAGAAUAAGCACCGGCUAACUUCGUG